rnacentral:rRNA from 1 species
UGGGGAAUCUUGGACAAUGGGCGCAAGCCUGAUCCAGCCAUGCCGCGUGAGUGAAGAAGGCCUUCGGGUUGUAAAGCUCUUUUACCAGGGACGAUAAUGACGGUACCUGGAGAAUAAGCCCCGGCAAACUUCGUGCCAGCAGCCGCGGUAAUACGAAGGGGGCUAGCGUUGUUCGGAAUUACUGGGCGUAAAGCGCACGUAGGCGGAUUGUUAAGUCAGAGGUGAAAUCCCGGAGCUCAACUUCGGAACUGCCUUUGAUACUGGCAAUCUAGAGUCCGGAAGAGGUUAGUGGGAUUCCCAGUGUAGAGGUGAAAUUCGUAGAUAUUGGGAAGAACACCAGUGGCGAAGGCGGCUAACUGGUCCGGUACUGACGCUGAGGUGCGAAAGCGUGGGGAGCAAACAGGAUUAGAUACCCCGGUAGUCCCUGAGCGGGCUGGCAAGGCGC